AGGGCACCACCAGGAGUGGAGCCUGCGGCUUAAUUUGACUCAACACGGGAAAUCUCACCAGGCCCGGACACUGGCAGGAUUGACAGAUUGAGAGCUCUUUCUCGAUUCGGUGGUUGGUGGUGCAUGGCCGUUCUUAGUUGGUGGAGCGAUUUGUCUGGUUUAUUCCGAUAACGAACGAGACUCUAGCCUACUAAAUAGUGACUGGAUUGUUUCUGUCCAGGACACUUCUUAGAGGGACAAGUGGUGUUCAGCCACACGAAAUUGAGCAAUAACAGGUCUGUGAUGCCCUUAGAUGUCCGGGGCUGCACGCGCGCUACACUGGAGGAAUCAGCGUGCUAUACCAUUGCCGAAAGGCAUUGGUAAACCCGUCAAAAUCCUCCGUGAUCGGGAUCGGGAAUUGCAAUUAUUUCCCUUGAACGAGGAAUUCCCAGUAAGUGUGGGUCAUCAGCUCACGCUGAUUACGUCCCUGCCCUUUGUACACACCGCCCGUCGCUGCCCGGGACUGAGCCGUUUCGAGAA
rnacentral:rRNA from 1 species